rnacentral:rRNA from 1 species
AUUGAACGCUGGCGGCAGGCCUAACACAUGCAAGUCGAACGGUAACAGGAAGCAGCUUGCUGCUUUGCUGACGAGUGGCGGACGGGUGAGUAAUGUCUGGGAAACUGCCUGAUGGAGGGGGAUAACUACUGGAAACGGUAGCUAAUACCGCAUAACGUCGCAAGACCAAAGAGGGGGACCUUAGGGCCUCUUGCCAUCGGAUGUGCCCAGAUGGGAUUAGCUAGUAGGUGGGGUAACGGCUCACCUAGGCGACGAUCCCUAGCUGGUCUGAGAGGAUGACCAGCCACACUGGAAUUGAGACACGGUCCAGACUCCUACGGGAGGCAGCAGUGGGGAAUAUUGCACAAUGGGCGCAAGCCUGAUGCAGCCAUGCCGCGUGUAUGAAGAAGGCCUUCGGGUUGUAAAGUACUUUCAGCGGGGAGGAAGGGAGUAAAGUUAAUACCUUUGCUCAUUGACGUUACCCGCAGAAGAAGCACCGGCUAACUCCGUG